rnacentral:rRNA from 1 species
UACAGAGACUGCAAGCGUUAUUCGGAUUCGCUGGGCGUAAAGGGUGCGCAGGCGGCCGGGUGUGUCAGAUGUGAAAUCCCGAGGCUUAACCUCGGAACUGCGUCUGAAACUACUCGGCUAGAGUAUUGGAGAGGGUAACGGAAUUCACGGUGUAGCAGUGAAAUGCGUAGAUAUCGUGAGGAACACCAGAGGCGAAGGCGGUUACCUGGACAAUUACUGACGCUCAGGCACGAAAGCAUGGGGAGCAAAAGGG